rnacentral:rRNA from 1 species
CCUACGGGUGGCAGCAGUAGGGAAUCUUCCACAAUGGGCGAAAGCCUGAUGGAGCAACGCCGCGUGGGUGAAGAAUGUCUUCGGAUCGUAAAACCCUGUUGUUAGAGAAGAAAGUGCGUGAGAGUAACUGUUCACGUUUCGACGGUAUCUAACCAGAAAGCCACGGCUAACUACGUGCCAACAGCCGCGGUAAUACGUAGGUGGCAAGCGUUAUCCGGAUUGAUUGGGCGUAAAGGGAACGCAGGCGGUCUUUUAAGUCUGAUGUGAAAGCCUUCGGCUUAACCGGAGUAGUGCAUUGGAAACUGGUAGACUAGAGUGCGGAAGAGGAGAGUGGAACUCUAGGUGUAGCGGUGAAAUGCGUAGAGAUAAGGAAGAAUACCAGUGGCGAAGGCGGCUCUCUGGUCCGUAACUGACGCUGAGGUUCGAAAGCGUGGGUAGCAAACAGGAUUAGAUACCCUAGUAGUC